rnacentral:rRNA from 1 species
AUUGAACGCUGGCGGCAGGCCUAACACAUGCAAGUCGAACGAGUGGCGGACGGGUGAGGAAUGGCUGGGAAACUGCCUGAUGGAGGGGGAUAACGACUGGAAACGGGAGCUAAAAACGAAGACCAGGAGAUGUGCCCAGAUGGGAUUAGCUAGUUGGUGGGGUAACGGCUCACCAAGGCGACGAUCCCUACCUGGUCUGAGAGGAUGACCAGCCACACUGGAACUGAGACACGGUCCAUACUCCUACGGGCGGCAGCAGUGGGGAAUAUUGCACAAUGGGCGCAAGCCUGAUGCAGCCAUGCCGCGUGUAUGAAGAAGGCCUUCGGGUUGUAAAGUACUUUCAGCGGGGAGGCGUUACCCGCUUCUUCAGCACCGGCUAACUCCGUGCCAGCAGCCGCGGUAAUUC